rnacentral:rRNA from 1 species
CCCUUAGAUGUUCUGGGCCGCACGCGCGCUACACUGAUGCAUUCAACGAGUCUAAAACCUGCUCUGAUAGGGGUGGGUAAUCUUUUGAAUGUGCAUCGUGAUUGGGAUAGAUGAUUGCAAUUUUUCAUCUUCAACGAGGAAUGCCUAGUAAACGCAAGUCAUCAGCUUGCAUUGAUUACGUCCCUGCCCUUUGUACACACCGCCCGUCGCUCCUACCGAUUGAAUGAUCCGAUGAAUAUCAUGGAUUGAGGAUGCAAGCAGGUUCGCCUGUCUUCAUCUUCGAGAAGUGAAGUAAAUCUUAUCAUUUAGGGGAAGGAGAAGUCGUAACA